rnacentral:rRNA from 1 species
UACGUAGGGUGCAAGCGUUGUCCGGAAUUAUUGGGCGUAAAGAGCUCGUAGGCGGUCUGUCGCGUCGGCUGUGAAAACCCGGAGCUCAACUCCGGGCCUGCAGUCGAUACGGGCAGACUGGAGUUCGGCAGGGGAGACUGGAAUUCCUGGUGUAGCGGUGAAAUGCGCAGAUAUCAGGAGGAACAUCGGUGGCGAAGGCGGAUCUCUGGGCCAUUACUGACGCUGAGGAGCGAAAGCGUGGGGAGCGAACAGG